GAUGAACGCUGGCGGCGUGCCUAAUACAUGCAAGUCGAGCGAACAGACGAGGAGCUUGCUCCUCUGACGUUAGCGGCGGACGGGUGAGUAACACGUGGAUAACCUACCUAUAAGACUGGGAUAACUUCGGGAAACCGGAGCUAAUACCGGAUAAUAUAUUGAACCGCAUGGUUCACUAGUUAAAGACGGUUUUGCUGUCACUUAUAGAUUGAUCCGCGCCGCAUUAGCUAGUUGGUAAGGUAACGGCUUACCAAGGCAACGAUGCGUAGCCGACCUGAGAGGGUGAUCGGCCACACGGGAACUGAGACACGGUCCAGACUCCUACGGGAGGCAGCAGUAGGGAAUCUUCCGCAAUGGGCGAAAGCCUGACGGAGCAAAGCCGCGUGAGUGAUGAAGGUCUUCGGAUCGUAAAACUCUGUUAUUAGGGAAGAACAAAUGUGUAAGUAACUAUGCACGUCUUGACGGUACCUAAUCAGAAAGCCACGGCUAACUACGUG
rnacentral:rRNA from 1 species